rnacentral:rRNA from 1 species
ACGGAGCGACGCCGCGUGCGGGAUGAAGGCCCUUGGGUUGUAAACCGCUGUCAGAGGGGAUGAAAUCAUGGUUGGCUAUCCUUCCAUGUUGACAGAGCCUCAGAGGAAGCGCGGGCUAAGUACGUGCCAGCAGCCGCGGUAACACGUACUGUGCGAACGUUAUUCGGAAUCACUGGGCUUAAAGGGUACGUAGGCGGUUAAUCAAGUCAGGUGUGAAAUGCCUGAGCUCAACUGAGGCACUGCGCUUGAAACUGAUUAGCUAGAGUAUUCCAGGGGUGUGCGGAACUUAUGGUGGAGCGGUGAAAUGCGUUGAUAUCAUGAGGAACACCGGAGGCGAAGGCGGCACACUGGGGAAUUACUGACGCUGAGGUACGAAAGCUAGGGUAGCGAACGGGAUUAGAUACCCCGGUAGUCCUAGCUGUAAACGAUGAGCACUGGGCGAGAGGCGAUUCGUCGCUUUUUGCCGUAGCGAAAGCAUUAAGUGCUCCGCCUGGGGAGUA